rnacentral:rRNA from 1 species
GUAGGGAAUAUUGGACAAUGGGGGGAACCCUGAUCCAGCCAUGCCGCGUGGAGGAAGACUGCCCUCUGGGUUGUAAACUCCUUUUAUAUGGGAAGAACCGUCCUCAUUAAUGAGUGACCUGACGGUACCAUAGGAAUAAGCACCGGCUAACUCCGUGCCAGCAGCCGCGGUAAUAUGGAGGGUGCAAGCGUUAUCCGGAUUCACUGGGUUUAAAGGGUGCGUAGGCGGAUAAAUAAGUCAGUGGUGAAAUCAACGGGCUCAACCUGUUAACUGCCAUUGAUACUGUGUAUCUUGAAUAUGAGAGAGGUAGGCGGAAUGUUGCAUGUAGCGGUGAAAUGCUUAGAUAUGCUACGGAACACCGAUUGCGAAGGCAGCUUACUAUUUCGUAAUUGACGCUGAGGCACGAAAGCGUGGGUAGCGAACAGGAUUAGAUACCCCUGUAGUCC